rnacentral:rRNA from 1 species
GUCUACGGCCAUGCCACCCUGAAUAAGCCCAAUGUCUGAUCUCAGAAGCUAAGCAGGAUUGGGCCUGGUUAGUACUUAGAUAGGAGACCACCUAGGAAGACCAGGUGCUGUAGGCA